rnacentral:rRNA from 1 species
GACGAACGCUGGCGGCGUGCUUAACACAUGCAAGUCGAACGAAGAGCGACGGAAGCUUGCUUCUAUCAAUCUUAGUGGCGAACGGGUGAGUAACGCGUAAUCAACCUGCCCUUCAGAGGGGGACAACAGUUGGAAACGACUGCUAAUACCGCAUACGAUCUAAUCUCGGCAUCGAGGAUGGAUGAAAGGUGGCCUCUACAUGUAAGCUAUCACUGAAGGAGGGGAUUGCGUCUGAUUAGCUAGUUGGAGGGGUAACGGCCCACCAAGGCGAUGAUCAGUAGCCGGUCUGAGAGGUUGAACGGCCACAUUGGGACUGAGACACGGCCCAGACUCCUACGGGAGGCAGCAGUGGGGAAUCUUCCGCAAUGGACGAAAGUCUGACGGAGCAACGCCGCGUGAGUGAUGACGGCCUUCGGGUUGUAAAGCUCUGUUAAUCGGGACGAAAGGCCUUCUUGCGAAUAGUGAGAAGGAUUGACGGUACCGGAAUAGAAAGCCACGGCUAACUACGUG